GCGGUCGUAGUCUAGCCUGGUUAGGACCCUGGCUUGCCGAGCCAGUAACCCGGGUUCGAAUCCCGGCGGCCGCACCA
rnacentral:tRNA from 1 species